ACGGAAGGCAGCAGUGAGGAAUAUUGGUCAAUGGGCGGAAGCCUGAACCAGCCAAGUCGCGUGAAGGAAGAAGGUAUUAUGUAUUGUAAACUUCUUUAGCUGUGGAGCAAUAAUCGCUAUGUAUAGCGAGAUGAGAGUACACAGAGAAUAAGGAUCGGCUAACUUCGUGCCAGCAGCCGCGGUAAUACGGAGGAUCCGAGCGUUAUCCGGAUUUAUUGGGUUUAAAGGGUGCGCAGGCGGCGUUUUAAGUCAGUGGUAAAAUCGUGGGGCUCAACCCCAUCCUGCCAUUGAUACUGGAGCGCUUGAUUGCGGUCGAGGUUUGCGGAAUUCGUCGUGUAGCGGUGAAAUGCAUAGAUAUGACGAAGAACACCGAUUGCGUAGGCAGCUUACCAAGCCGUAAAUGACGCUCAUGCACGAAAGUGCGGGGAUCGAACAGGAUUAGAUACCCUGGUA
rnacentral:rRNA from 1 species